GGGCCCGCACAAGCGGUGGAGUAUGUGGUUUAAUUCGAUGCAACGCGAAGAACCUUACCUGGUCUUGACAUCCCGGAGACCCUUAGGAAACUAGGGGGUGCUUCCAUUAGGAAGAAUCUGGAGACAGGUGCUGCAUGGCUGUCGUCAGCUCGUGUCGUGAGAUGUUGGGUUAAGUCCCGCAACGAGCGCAACCCUUGCCUUUAGUUGCCAGCAGUUCGGCUGGGCACUCUAAAGGGACUGCCGGUGUUAAACCGGAGGAAGGUGGGGAUGACGUCAAGUCCUCAUGCCCUUUAUGACCAGGGCUACACACGUACUACAAUGGCCGAUACAAAGGGCAGCGACACUGCGAAGUGAAGCCAAUCCCGUAAAAUCGGUCUCAGUCCGGAUUGGAGUCUGCAACUCGACUCCAUGAAGUUGGAAUCGCUAGUAAUCGUGGAUCAGCAUGCCACGGUGAAUACGUUCCCGGGCCUU
rnacentral:rRNA from 1 species